rnacentral:lncRNA from 1 species
UCUUCAGUCAAGAGAGUCUUUUGGCUGGAGACUUGAAAUUCAGUCCAUGUGUGGGCCGAAGUAACUAGACGUUGUCUUGAACUGAUGCCCGAUAUGAGGCGGUGCUCAAAGUGAAAUGAUGCUCAUCCAGAAGUAGCACACGCUGCGAGGCUGCUCGGCUUGUGACUUAUAUUGCCUUGUUUGGCUCGGUUUGUGGCGUUUGAAGGUGAGGGAGUCCCUUUUAUAGAAUAAGGGCUCACUCCUCGAUACAUGGAUGAUGGGCUAGAGUUGAUGCUCUCUAAUAGUGGUGAGGGGAGUCCCUUUUGUAGAAUAAGGGUUUGCUCCUCAAUACAUAAAUAAUGGGCUAAGUCCCCCAAGUAUUUUUCAUG